UGUCGAAAAACUUUUCGGGAA
rnacentral:piRNA from 1 species